rnacentral:lncRNA from 1 species
UGGAAUGUGAAGCUGUGUUGGAAGGGAACAAUGGCUGAUGAAUUUUAAUGAGGAUGUAUUUAUUUUAAAAGAUACAGAACUGGUUACCAAUAAUUGGGGUACUUCUGCAACUUACCAAAUCAUGUCUCAUAACACAACAACAAAAUCUCCUAUUUUAUUAUUUUUCUACCAUUUCUCUCUUUUAUCUUUCUCUUUUUUUUUUUCACCAGAGUCAAAGAUCUUCAGAGAUGGAGCUCCCUUCCCCCAUUUUUAUUCUCUCUCUUCAACUGCCAGGAAUGUUCCAAACAUUUCCCAACGGUCCCUGUUCCCAACAUUCUCAUUUCUAUGGCAACGACAGCAAGGGCCACGCUUUCUGCAAUGAAAAUA